CUCUUAUAUGCUUCCAUAUAGUAGAGUGGCAUCAUCCAGAUCGUGUCCUGAGACAGUUCGAUAUGCGACAAACGAUACCUUCGUUGUCCUAUACACACCCAGCACUACACCAGAUCGAUUUAAGAGGGAGAAUUAACAAAUGGACAAACUAUAUCAGACGACUACUUUUCCUGGUACAAUUCGAUCACGAGAUGAUUUAUCUCACCUGAUGGCGCUUACUAUUACUGCAUGAAUAAUUUUAUCGGCGAUGUUCAACAAUAUUCAGUGCAGAACAACUUACCAGAAUUAGAUUCAAUGUGUCAGCAAAAUUGGUCAACGUAGAAGGUAUUAUUCAAUAAACAAGACGAC